UUUACAUCAGUCGUUGCAAGUUCCGAGAGGAUUAAUAGGGAAACCGGUGUAAAUCCGGUACGAUCCCGUUACUGUAAUGGGGAAUCCUCAGAUAAAAUACCACUGGCCGGGUGCGUGAGAAAUAGGGCCGGGAAGGUGUCUGAGGGUGAGGAGCCUGAGUCAGGAGACCUGCUUGUAAUUGUUUUAAGAU
rnacentral:ncRNA from 2 species